rnacentral:rRNA from 1 species
AGAGUUUGAUCAUGGCUCAUUAUUGAACGCUGGCGGCAUGCCUUACACAUGCAAGUCGAACGGUAACAGCUCUUCGGAGGCUGACGAGUGGCGAACGGGUGAGUAAUACAUCGGAACGUGCCCGAUCGUGGGGGAUAACGGAGCGAAAGCUUUGCUAAUACCGCAUACGAUCUACGGAUGAAAGCAGGGGACCCUCGGGCCUUGCGCGAACGGAGCGGCCGAUGGCAGAUUAGGUAGUUGGUGGGAUAAAAGCUUACCAAGCCGACGAUCUGUAGCUGGUCUGAGAGGACGACCAGCCACACUGGGACUGAGACACGGCCCAGACUCCUACGGGAGGCAGCAGUGGGGAAUUUUGGACAAUGGGCGAAAGCCUGAUCCAGCAAUGCCGCGUGCAGGAUGAAGGCCUUCGGGUUGUAAACUGCUUUUGUACGGAACGAAAAGUCUCGGGAUAAUACCCUGGGACCAUGACGGUACCGUAAGAAUAAGCACCGGCUAACUACGUGCCAGCAGCCGCGGUAAUACGUAGGGUGCAAGCGUUAAUCGGAAUUACUGGGCGUAAAGCGUGCGCAGGCGGUUAUAUAAGACAGAUGUGAAAUCCCCGGGCUCAACCUGGGAACUGCAUUUGUGACUGUAUAGCUAGAGUACGGUAGAGGGGGAUGGAAUUCCGCGUGUAGCAGUGAAAUGCGUAGAUAUGCGGAGGAACACCGAUGGCGAAGGCAAUCCCCUGGACCUGUACUGACGCUCAUGCACGAAAGCGUGGG